CUGCUGCCUUCCGUAGGAGUUUGGGCCGUGUCUCAGUCCCAAUGUGGCCGGUUCACCCUCUCAGGCCGGCUACUGAUCGUUGCCUUGGUAGGCCAUUACCCCACCAACUAGCUAAUCAGACGCGGAACCAUCGUAUACCACCAGAGUUUUUCACACCGCUUCAUGCGAAGCUGUGCGCUUAGUGCGGUAUUAGCACCUAUUUCUAAGUCGUUAUCCCCCAGUAUACGGCAGGUUUCCACGCGUUACUCACCCGUCCGCCA
rnacentral:rRNA from 1 species